AGUUUGGGUAGAGAUGUAGCAUCAAACAUUCACGGAUGUCCAGGGAGCACGGGCACACAGGCUGCUGGCCAGAGGUACUAGGAAGGUACAGGCGGGAGUUCGACGAGGACGCACCUUCCCCUGUCUUGGAAAGGCUCAGGUGACAUGUAUGUGUCUUUUGCUGGGAGCAGCCCUCGAUUCUUUUAAGAGGCUGCUCACAGCGCUGCUGGACUCUUUAAGCCCUGAGGUCAUGUGAAAAGAAGUUUGCCCUGUGUCCUUCUGUCUCCUGUUGGCUGUCCACAAAAUGGAGAAGGCGGAAGCAACCUGAGGCGUCCUCUUUGUCUGUAAAGAUAGAGAGUCCAUUGUGGAAGGGGGAGAUACAGGAACUAUAUAGGCGAGGCUCUACCGGACUGCAUCUCUUAUCUCCAGAAUUCUUUUACAGAAAAGAAAAAAAUAAACUUUUAUCUGGCUUAAGCCAC
rnacentral:lncRNA from 1 species